rnacentral:rRNA from 1 species
AGAACGAACGCUGGCGGCAGGCUUAACACAUGCAAGUCGAACGCGUGUAGCAAUACACGAGUGGCGCACGGGUGAGUAACGCGUGGAUAUCUGCCUUUUGGUUCGGAAUAACCCCGGGAAACUGGGGCUAAUACCGGAUGGUUCCUUCGGGAUAAAGAUUUAUCGCCAAAAGAUGAGUCCGCGGCCGAUUAGCUUGUUGGCGAGGUAAUGGCUCACCAAGGCAAUGAUCGGUAGCCGGACUGAGAGGUUGGCCGGCCACACUGGAACUGAGACACGGUCCAGACUCCUACGGGAGGCAGCAGUGGGGAAUCUUGCACAAUGGACGAAAGUCUGAUGCAGCAACGCCGCGUGGGGAUGAAGCUCUCGGAGUGUAAACCCCUUUCGACCCGGAAGAAUGCCCGCAAGGGUAUGACGGUACGGGUAUAAGAAGCCCCGGCUAACUACGCGCCAGCAGCCGC